AGUGAACGCUGGCGGUAGGCCUAACACAUGCAAGUCGAACGGCAGCACAGGAGAGCUUGCUCUCUGGGUGGCGAGUGGCGGACGGGUGAGGAAUACAUCGGAAUCUACUCUGUCGUGGGGGAUAACGUAGGGAAACUUACGCUAAUACCGCAUACGACCUACGGGUGAAAGCAGGGGACCUUCGGGCCUUGCGCGAUUGAAUGAGCCGAUGUCGGAUUAGCUAGUUGGCGGGGUAAAGGCCCACCAAGGCGACGAUCCGAAGUUGGUCUGUGAGGCUGAUACACGACACUGGAACGGAGACACGGUCCAGACUCCUACGGGAGGCAGAAGUGGGGAAAAUUGGACAAUGGGCGCAAGCCUGAUCCAGCCAUACCGCGUGGGUGAAGAAGGCCUCCGGGUUGUAAAGCCCUUUUGUUGGGAAAGAAAUCCAGCUGGCUAAUACCCGGUUGGGAUGACGGUACCCAAAGAAUAAGCACCGGCUAACUUCGUGCCAGCCGCCGCAGUAA
rnacentral:rRNA from 1 species